CUUAAUUUGCACUUCAAACUAUUUCUUUCUUUUUUUUUUGAGGGUCAUAAGUCGGCAUUUAUUAUUUAAGUUGAUGAACAGGUUAUGAAUGGGGUGAGGGGGAGGCCUAGGGGAGAGGGAAGAAGGGAGGAGGCAGGGAGAUGAGAGCCUCUCCUUUGUGUCUGCUCCCAACGGGGUUGAUCCUGAUUUCUGAGCCUUGGUCCAGGGCACACAAUGAAGCACACGAUAAGAUGAGGUUCCAGGGGCUACAGUUUCUUUGAAUAUGCAUCCAACUUGUAAGCGCCUGGUCAAGAGCUGCUACUUGCUCCUCAGUUAAAGUGAUCUGAUCCAGAUGAGGCUGAAGUGCUGCAGAUUUCUGGUUUAAGUCCUUUAGGUUUCUACUUAUGUUUACUGCAAUACCUUUCAUUUCUAGAUACUUCAAGCUAGUCAGUUUGUUCAUAUUUUCCAGAAGCUUAUAGUCUUCAUGGUGGCUGUCAGCUCGCCGGUUAGGUACGUGGCCAUUUUGGAGAACAUGUCCUGACACAGCCCCGUGAUGUCCUACUCGGCCAUCUCCACCACGGCAUCGUCUCCAAUCUAUUUCUUAAUAAGAAACAAACAAAAAAAUCACAGAACUAUUCUGGUACUUAUUUAGGUGACAAAAUAUAUUGGGGCCACUUAUACUCUGUAAAUAUGUAGUCUUUACUUCCUCUUUCCAGAGUUUAGUCAUUGGUCAACUUAGAUGCUUUCAAAAGUAUUCCAUGCUUACAAGGGAAUUCCAAUGUCUCUGACCAUAGACAUACUUCUAAUAACAAGAAUACACAAGAGAUUUCAAUUCACUUCUGUAUGUAAUCUGUAGGAUCAAUGAGCAUGAAAUAACAGGCAUUGUGGUAGAUUCUAGGUGAUCUCAGGAGUAUUAUCUUCUAUCCUUUCCAAAAAAUACAUAUAACACACUAGAUUUAUCUAUUUUAGUAGCCAUCUAUAUCAUUUGAUAGAUGGAACCAGAUGCACACACUUUCUAUAAGCAGUAAUUCUACCAAUAUAUUGCUACAGGGAGGAAGGUAGUACAUUUUGCCCUUAUAGAUACAGCAUAUUUGGUAAGUAUUAAUCAAAUACAACAAAUAAAAUAAUAACACAAAACUAAAUCA
rnacentral:lncRNA from 1 species